UACAGAGGGUGCAAGCGUUAAUCGGAAUUACUGGGCGUAAAGCGUGCGUAGACGGUUAUGUAAGUCGGAUGUGAAAGCCCCGGGCUUAACCUGGGAAUGGCAUUCGAAACUGCAUAGCUAGGGUGCGGAAGAGGGAAGCGGAAUUUCGGGUGUAGCGGUGAAAUGCGUAGAUAUCCGAAGGAACAUCAGUGGCGAAAGCGGCUUCCUGGUCCAGCACCGACGUUCAGGCACGAAAGCGUGGGGAGCAAACAGG
rnacentral:rRNA from 1 species